rnacentral:rRNA from 1 species
GACGAACGCUGGCGGCGUGCUUAACACAUGCAAGUCGAACGGAAAGGCCCUGCUUUUGUGGGGUGCUCGAGUGGCGAACGGGUGAGUAACACGUGAGUAACCUGCCCUUGACUUUGGGAUAACUUCAGGAAACUGGGGCUAAUACCGGAUAGGAGCUCCUGCUGCAUGGUGGGGGUGGGAAAGUUUCGGCGGUUGGGGAUGGACCCGCGGCUUAUCAGCUUGUUGGUGGGGUAGUGGCUUACCAAGGCUUUGACGGGUAGCCGGCCUGAGAGGGUGACCGGCCACAUUGGGACUGAGAUACGGCCCAGACUCCUACGGGAGGCAGCAGUGGGGAAUAUUGCACAAUGGGCGGAAGCCUGAUGCAGCAACGCCGCGUGCGGGAUGACGGCCUUCGGGUUGUAAACCGCUUUCGCCUGUGACGAAGCGUGAGUGACGGUAAUGGGUAAAGAAGCACCAGCUAACUACGUG